CGAGCCCCCCCACCUCUCUCCCCGCCCGCAGACGAGGACUUCGCCGCGCCGCCGAAGAAGGCUCGCCCCGCCGGGAAGAGAGUUCCUCUUGGUGAGAAACUUUUCCAGAGAGACUUGGAAGUUACCUUAGCUGUAUCUUUGAAUGAAUAUUUGGGGAACAAAGAUAAAGUUCAGAAAAAAGAUGAUCGUGCUGAACCUAAGGCAGCCGUAGAGGAUUUCAAACAGGAAACUGUGUUAUGCACACCAGAGACGGACAACGAUGGAAAUCUAUGUGCCAGUCAGGAAAACUCUCAGCCGCUUUUAGAAAUUGAAUUAGGUUCUUCAGAAUCAGUUGGGAAGCCUUUGAAGACCUCAAGCCCUUCGGUGCCCAAGAAGCCCAGCUGGACACCCCCAGGUGCAUCUGGAAGCAAAACCAGCCUGAUGGGAAGAACUCCUGUUAGAUCACCAGUUCACGGUCUCCGGCUUGGCCUCUCCAGACUCGCCAGAGUGAAACCUUUGCACCCACCUUGUGCUGGUACCUAAGAAGGUCUUAGGCUGACACGAGAAGGCUGCAGAUUGAAGUGGAAGAGGAGAAAUCCGUUUUUAAAAAAAUAUAAAGGCAUCCCAAUUUGGAAAAAAAGCUUUGCCUUUUAAAAAUGAGUCCUGUAAAAUGGGACUAUUGUCCCUUAAAAUACCCAGCAAUAUUGUCCCUCAAAAGUUUGAAGUGAUAAUGCCCUGGGUUCCAUCUUCUUUCCCUCAACGAGUUGGCCAACAACGCAACCCAAUCUUUCUAGUUUUAUCCCAGUUUUGGCCAAUUCUGGCUUUUGAGGAUUGCCUAACCAGCAACAGUGGUUCAGAGUAUCUGUUGACCAUCUAGAGUCGAGUGUCUCAACCAUGGCAACUUUUAAGAAGUGUGGCCUCCAACUCCCAGAGUUCCCCAGCCAAACCCUGGAGAAUUCUGGGAGUUGAACUCCACACAUGUUAAGGUUGCCAUGGUUGAGAAACAUGGUUCUAUAGAAUGUGUUUUAAAACCACUGUGAAGACAGCAUGUCAGGAGUUAGCUUGUUACUCCUUGAUUUUACUUCUAAUAGAAAACACAGUCAUUGCCAUCAGUUCACAACUGUUGUUUUCCUGACCAAUCAAAUGCGUGUUCAGCUUUUAGUCCUUGCAAGCAUCACUUGCUCUUUGAAUGAGAUACUGUAGUGAUCAAAUAUUGUGACUUUAGACAACGAAAU
rnacentral:lncRNA from 1 species